rnacentral:rRNA from 1 species
GACGAACGCUGGCGGCGUGCCUAAUACAUGCAAGUAGAACGCUGAAGGAGGAGCUUGCUCUUCUGGAUGAGUUGCGAACGGGUGAGUAACGCGUAGGUAACCUGCCUGGUAGCGGGGGAUAACUAUUGGAAACGAUAGCUAAUACCGCAUAACAGUAGAUGUUGCAUGACAUUUGCUUAAAAGGUGCAAUUGCACCACUACCAGAUGGACCUGCGUUGUAUUAGCUAGUUGGUGGGGUAACGGCUCACCAAGGCGACGAUACAUAGCCGACCUGAGAGGGUGAUCGGCCACACUGGGACUGAGACACGGCCCAGACUCCUACGGGAGGCAGCAGUAGGGAAUCUUCGGCAAUGGACGGAAGUCUGACCGAGCAACGCCGCGUGAGUGAAGAAGGUUUUCGGAUCGUAAAGCUCUGCUGUAAGAGAAGAACGAGUGUGAGAGUGGAAAGUUCACACUGUGACGGUAUCUUACCAGAAAGGGACGGCUAACUACGUG